UUUUUUUUUUUUUUUUUUUCAAAGUCAUUAGGGAUAUCAUUCGAACAGAAGGGUAUGUAUGCAAAAUACACUACAAGGACUAAGCCCAAGCACCGUAUUGUUUCAGUCUCGAAGUAAUUCUAUGUACCCGUGCAUUGGAGAUGCGUUUAAUUAACAUGGUGCGAUUGGACUUGAGUGAGCUGACAGCACUGUAUGAGGGUCUGUUUGCCAAGAUUCAGGACUUGUUGAAAGAGUUAUUACAACUACAACUAUAACUAUAACUACAACUAUAACUACAACGAUAAGAACUAUCACUACUCUGAAGACAACGAUGUGUUUUCUCAAGAUGAUAACGGAUCUAGCUUCGCCAUCAAUAAGUAUGAGACAAAGGAGUCCAUCUUUGAUGAAACAUCCAUUUUCCUGUUGUACAUUUUUGCAGGACAACUAGCCUGAGCACAAGAGACAUGGUGUACUAGACCUUGUGCGGAAUGUCUACUUCAAAACUUGCAUCUUUAUAUCUGAUAUAUAGAGAUAUAGAGAUAUAGAGAUAUAGAGAUAUAGAGAGAGGCUGAUGAUUUAUAAACACAAACGAUAAGACUUGUAACAUGAAGUUUAUCGAAAAAGUCAAUCUUUAAAUUCCUUUCUGAACCUCUCUGUUAUGUCAGUGCUUCGGNACCAUGCUUUUUAGUGCGGGUCAUUUAAAAGGNNUAGCGAUGAUAGUUCUAAAGUUACUGGAUUNGAUCNAUUGGGAAGAACNUCCNAAAAAAAAAAAGGCAUGCNAAAUGCUAGUAUUAUCNGUAACCGCGCAAUUAACAAANGAUAACCAAAAAUUUNCNGGAUCUUUCCAAGAAAAGAAAAAACNNGAAAAUAUUUGGGA
rnacentral:sRNA from 1 species